rnacentral:rRNA from 1 species
GACGAACGCUGGCGGCGUGCCUAACACAUGCAAGUCGAACGAGAACGGAUUAUAGCUUGCUAUAAUUGUCAGCUAAGUGGCGCACGGGUGAGUAAUGUAUAGGUAAUAUGCCUCUUACUAAGGGAUAACAAAUGGAAACGUUUGCUAAUACCUUAUACUCCUUAUUAACAGAAGUUAAUAAGGGAAAGAUUUAUUGGUAAGAGAUUAGCCUGUAUUGUAUCAGUUAGUUGGUGGGGUAAUGGCUUACCAAGACUAUGACACAUAACUGGUUUGAGAGGAUGAUCAGUCACACUGGAACUGGGACACGGUCCAGACUCCUACGGGAGGCAGCAGUGGGGAAUAUUGCACAAUGGACGAAAGUCUGAUGCAGCAACGCCGCGUGGAGGAUGACACAUUUCGGUGCGUAAACUCCUUUUAUAUGAGAAGAUAAUGACGGUAUUAUAUGAAUAAGCACCGGCUAACUCCGUGCCAGCCGCCGCCGUAACAC